rnacentral:lncRNA from 1 species
AAAGGAGGAGAUUUUGGUGGUGUUGGAUUCUGUGUUAGCCCUUUCUUUGAGCUUUGCAAUGGAUUUUGCUGAGAAAUGGAAUAUUCUCUCUAAAAGCUCGGGUGCUUCAAAUCUGGAAAUGAACUCAUCUUGGUUAGUGAAAGGAAGGUUAAGUAAUGGACCAUGACCCUCUGGAAACCAUUUCUCUAACACUGGAGGACGUGAGAUUUUCAAAUUAGUAUCUCCUUGUGCUUGAAAUAUUUCAGACAAUGUGUUGAAGAAAUGCCAGAAACUGGUUCCAUCGCCAAUAGCAUGGUUCAUAGAACAACCUAUGAACACCCCAUCUACCAGCUCGGUGACUUGAAUCGAUAACAAAGGCCUGGUGUGACCAUCAUAGUUGAUUGCUCGAUCAUGGUCGAAAAACGAUUGAACAACCAACGGAACAUAAGUAGGGGAAACAAUGUCGGACACAGAUAAAUCAACAGCUGCAUGUAUAAAUUUGGCUCCUGGGCUGUUAUUGCAGUCCACAAAGACGAAAUGAGACUUUGGGUUUUCUUCUAUUUUCGUUGCGAGCCGACCUGCUAAGGGAUAGAAAUGAACGAGGGCUAUGGAAAGGGAUUGCUUGAGCCGAUCCAAGACAUUGUUGAUCAAGUCUUCUUCACAGUUAUCCUCUGGUUUAGCAUAGAGAAGACCCUUUUGGAUGUAUUGCACCGAGAGCAUAACAAGAUCCCAUGUUGUCAAAUAGUAAGGCUGUUUUGAUUGAUCAGAAACAUGUUGUGGUGUAACAUAACAUUCUGAGAUGAUUCGAACUGAUGAUGGAUCCAUUCUUUUUGUUGCUAGAGAGGAAGAGGGUAAAGUAUAUUUAGAUUGGAUUAGCAGGGUUGUUGAAUAUUGAAGUAAUGAUGUGUUUAUAUAUUGAUGGUUGCUCAAAACGAAGAAAUAAAAUUAUUUUGCUUGGUCUACUUUUGAUUCGCAGCUUGGCUUUAUGUGGUUAUUGAAUUGCUGGGAACCAAGUCAAAUAUUGUAGCAAUAUUGAUUAUAUAAUAAUUUUAAUUUUUAAAAUUGGAUUGAUAAUUGAAUUAAUUAUAUCAUUAGUUCUCAAUUUAUCGGCAAAUUCAAUCAGUUAAAACAAAAAAUAAGAAAGGAAAAUGUCUUGAUCUUUUGUCUACAUUUAUUUUAGAAGUUUAUGUCAAAUAUACAUGACGAUUUGAUAUUUUAACCAGUUCAAUUAAUUAUGAUUUCGAUUCAUUAAUGGUUCUAAAUAGUCUACUCAAAACUCAGUUUAUUACUCUUAUUUAGACUAAUACACUCAUCAAUUUUCGAUUUAAUUAUUCCAACUGAUCACUCUAAUCUAAUUCGAACAACAUUAAUUAUAUCCCUUAAAUAUACUAAUAGUUAAAGUUCUAAUAAAAAAAAUCCUUUCACCAAUCACAUGAAUAAAAACAAUUUAAAUGAAUUGAAGAAAGGAUUGUCGCAUUAAAAAGUAGGUAGCCAUCCAAGUAGUGAUGGUUGUUAGAGUUGGGAAAGCUCCUACGCAAUGUUGGACGACUUAGGGUCUAAUUUAAUAUAAAGUUUGAUUGUGAAAUUUCCCACAUGAACGACAGAAAAGUUAAUCAAGUUCACCAAUCACAUGGGAACUUUCGGUUUGUAUUAAUAACAAAACUAUUCCACAUUCAGUUAUUAAGGAAAAAGAAUUUUUUCCAUGUACUAAACUUGUUCUCUUAAUAAAUAAUUUUCCGAUAUUGUAAUAUUUAGAUUAUCGAAAUUUCGAGAUUCUAAAUUGUUUUUAGAUUUAAUUGUUACUUUGAGUUUAGGGUAUUUAAGUUUAUAUAAUUUAGAUUCGAGGUUCAAAUUUUUUAAAUAUUAGAUUGUUAUAAAUUUAAAUUAUUUUGAGGUUUAAUAACUUUAUGUUCAAGCCAUUUUGAAUUAUUUGUUUGGAACAUUUUAAAAUUUAGUUGUUUUAAUUUGAAUAGCUUCAGAUUUGAGUCAUAUUAAAGUUUGUGUCAAUUUGAGUUUAAAUUAUUGAUUUUUUAUGAUCAAAUCGAAUUAAAUCAGAGUUUGAAUUCAAAUUGAAUCCUUGUAACCACCAAAAAAAUAAAAGUAUAGAUAAAUGUUCCAAACUCAACCAUACAAUACCAAAAUUUCUGUCACUGAAGAGACAUGGUUAUCAUUCAAAGAUAGUGAAGCCAAUUGAUCUGCAGGAUUGUUGACCAGUGGCUUUGCAGCAACACUCUUCAACACCUCUAAGGCCUCUGCUACUUUAGCUUACAAAGCUUCGGGUGACUCAAUGAGAUGCAAAACUUAAGUUUGGUCCAUCUCUAGAAGCAUGCCGGUACCCUUGGCUGCUGCAUCACGCUCGAGAUGUUCCUCAUGGGGGUAUAGGCAUUCACCAAGCAUCUGAUCACCAGUCACAAAUUGACAAUAUAAAGGUCUUGAAGGAAAUUAAAUUGAACAAAAUAUAGUCACGGAAAUUGGAAAAACAAGACUCACCGUCCUUUGUGUUGAAAAGACAAAUUAAAAGGGGUGUUGAAAAGUCAAAAAAAUGGGAGGUGCAAGUGGCACCGAAAGAAAAAAAUGGUAGGCAAGUUGUUUAAAGUUGAAUGGGAUAAUUGCAAUUUUGGUCCCUAAUUUUUUAGGCCAUUUGCAAGUUAGUCCCUGAACCUCAACUAUAAAUAGGCCUAACCAUUUCUCAUUUACACCAUCCCAACCAAUCUUUCUCUCUUAGAUUUCUUUCUUCUCCCAUUUGAGAAUUCUCAAGGAAUUCUAUUUGUUUGUAAUAUUUUGAAGAUAGUAAAGUUAUCAUCUGGUGUUAGUGCCCGAGGACGUAGGUAUAAUUUACCGAACCUCGUUAAAACUCUUGUGUUCUUUCUUGUCCUAUUUUUCUUUCAAUAUUUGAGGGUAUAAUAGUAGUAUUUAAUUGUGCUAUUAAAUUACUAUAGAAGGGAUAUUCUGACUAAGGAAAGACUUGGUAUUUAAGAGAUCCAUGUGAUCCACCUCUCUUCCCUGGGAAUUGAACUUUGUGUGAUUUUUUAGUACAAUAAUUUACACGCUUCCGACCCUAUUGGAACAACAAGUGGUAUCAAGAGCCGAAGGUUAAUCGUAGUAUGCUCUGUGGUUGCAGUUUAAACUGAUCUUCCACAUCAGAAAAGAUUUCCUUAGGUAUAUUGAAAGAUUAUGGAGAAAACGGUCGGUGUAGGAGCUUCAACAUCGUCCAUGUGGACAAGACCGACAAUUGCAAAUGCAAGAUUGGCCGUGGAGAUCUUUGAUGGCACGGGCCAUUUUGGUAUGUGGCAAAGUGAGGUUCUAGAUGCCCUUUUUCAGCAGGGUCUAGACAUUGCCUUUGAUGAAGAGAAACCAGAUGAUGUACAGGAGAAAGAUUGGAAGGCGAUCAAUCGGUUGGCAUGUGGCACAAUUCGAUCAUGCCUUUCUCGAGAGCAGAGGUAUGCUUUUUCAAAGGAGACUUCUGCAAAUAAGUUGUGGGUGGCACUUGAAGAAAAUUUUUUGAAGAAAAACAGUCAAAAUAAGCUCUACUUGAAGAAAAGAUUGUUUCGCUUCACAUACGUCCCAAGUACCACAAUGAAUGAUCACAUCACCCAAUUUAAUCAGUUAGUCACUGAUUUGCUGAAUAUGGAUGAGACAUUCAAAGAUGAAGAUUUGGCUUUGAUGCUGUUGGGGUCACUUCCUGAGGAGUUUGAGUUCCUAGAAACUACUCUACUUCAUGGCAGGAGUGAUAUAUCUCUAAGCGAAGUCUGUGCGGCCUUAUACAGUUAUGAACAGAAAAAGAAGGACAAACAGAAAAACUCAAUCAGAGAUACAGAAGCUUUAGUAGUCCGAGGUCGUUCAUACACUCGGAAGAAAACUCAAAAGGGGAGAUCAAAGUCAAAGUCCAGACUCGGGAAAGAUGAAUGUGCUUUUUGUCAUGAGAAAGGCCACUGGAAGAAAAAUUGUCCAAAGCUGAAGAAUAAGGGAAAAGCUGCUGUAGAUGCUUGUGUUGCUAAGCAUGAUACUAGUGACUCUGAACUAUCAUUGGUUGCAUCAUCAUCGUCGUUCCAUUCAGAUGAGUGGAUAUUGGAUUCGGGUUGUACCUAUCAUAUGUCCCCUAACCGGGAGUGGUUCUCUGAUUUAGUAGAACUAAAUGGAGGAGUUGUUUAUAUGGGCAAUGACAAUGCCUGUAAAACUGUUGGGAUAGGUUCAAUCCAAUUAAAGAAUCAAGAUGGAUCAACCAGAGUUCUGACUAAUGUUCGGUACGUGCCCAGUUUGAAGAAAAAUCUCAUCUCAUUGGGAGCCUUGGAAUCCAAUGGUUCAGUUGUUACUAUGAGAGAUGGGAUUUUGAAAGUGAUAUCUGGCGCACUUGUGAUAUUGAAGGGCAUCAGGAAAAAUAACUUGUAUUACUACCAAGGUAGUACUGUUAUUGGAGCAGUCGCUACAGCUUCCGGUAACAAAGAAUUGGACUCAAUGCAGUUGUGGCAUAUGAAGUUGGGACAUGCUAGCGAAAAAUCCUUGCAAAUUCUGGCAAAGCAAGGAUUGUUGAAAGGUGCAAAGGCUUACAAAUUAAAAUUUUGCGAGCAUUGUGUUCUGGGAAAGCAAAAGAGAGUGAAAUUCGGUACUGCUAUCCAUAAUACAAAAGGUAUUUUGGAAUAUGUUCACUCAGAUGUGUGGGGGCCUUCCAAGACACCUUCAUUGGGAGGAAAACACUACUUUGUUACUUUUGUUGAUGACUUUUCCAGAAGAGUUUGGGUGUAUACCAUGAGAACUAAGGAUGAAGUGCUUAGAGUUUUUCUUAAAUGGAAAACUAUGAUCGAAAACCAGACUGGCAAGAAAAUCAAGCGGCUUAGGACGGACAAUGGAGGGGAAUAUAAAAGUGAUCCGUUCUUCGAUGUGUGCCAAGAGUAUGGUAUUGUUCGACACUUCACAGUUAGGGAUACACCACAGCAGAAUGGAUUGGCAGAGCGUAUGAAUCGAACAUUGCUGGAGAAAGUUCGAUGUAUGUUGUCCAAUGCUGGGUUGGGCAAGCAAUUUUGGGCUGAGGCUGUGACAUACGCUGGCCAUCUUGUUAAUCGUUUGCCAUCAUCUGCAUUAGAAAGAAAAACUCCUAUGGAGGUAUGGUCUGGAAAACCGGCUACAGAUUAUGAUUCCUUACAUGUGUUUGGAUCCACUGCAUAUUACCAUGUGAAGGAGUCAAAGUUAGAUUCGAGGGCAAAGAAAUCUCUCUUUAUGGGAAUCACUUCUGGAGUGAAGGGAUUUUGAAUUUGGUGCUUAAGCACAAAGAAAAUGAUCUGUAGCAGAGAUGUUACCUUUGAUGAAUCUGCCACAUUGAAAAAGGUAGCAGAUAAAGAUAUUCAGACGAGCAACACUCCACAGCAGGUGGAGUGUACUCCAAAACAGGUGGAGUUUGAGCAGAUGGGGAUUUGCCCAGUUAAUAAGUCUAAUUCUCCAGCCACAAUGGAGGAAUUAGAGGUUGAAGAGGUUUUGACCCAAGAACCACUAAGUACACCAGAACCAGUUGCAGUUGCAAGGCCACGGAGAGAAAUUCGUAAACCUGCUCGAUUUACUGAUAUGGUGGCCUACGCCCUUCCCGUUGUUGAUGAUAUUCCUAUCACUUAUCAAGAAGCAAUGCAAAGCUUAGAAAGUGAUAAAUGGAAAAGCGCCAUGGAUGAAGAAAUGCAGUCUCUCCUAAAGAAAAAUACUUGGGAAUUGGCACAAUUACCGAAAGGUAAAAGGGCAAUCGGAUGCAAGUGGGUAUUCGCAAAGAAAGAUGGAUCUCCUAGCAAGAAGGAUAUUCGCUACAAGGCAAGAUUGGUAGCUAAACGCUACGCUCAGAAUGAGGGAAUUGACUACAAUGAUGUAUUUUCCCCUGUUGUGAAGCAUUCCUCCAUUAGAAUUUUGUUGGCCUUGGUAGCACAGUUGAAUUUGGAACUAGCUCAACUUGAUGUUAAGACGGCUUUCUUGCAUGGUGAGUUAGAACAGGAGAUCUAUAUGACUCAUCCCGAAGGAUACACAGAUGCUGGUGGUAGAAAUUGGGUUUGUAAGCUGAACAAAUCGCUAUAUGGAUUGAAGCAAUCCCCGAGGCAGUGGUACAAGCGAUUUGAUAGCUUUAUGAGAAGGCAGAAGUACACAAGAAGCAAAUAUGACAAUUGUGUGUAUUUGCAGAAGCUGCAUGACGGAUCUUUCAUUUAUCUACUCUUGUAUGUUGAUGAUAUGUUAAUCGCUUCGAAGAGCCAAAAAGAGAUAGAUAAGCUGAAGGCUCAGUUGAAUCAAGAGUUCGAGAUGAAAGAUCUAGGUGAGGCCAAGAAGAUUCUCGGCAUGGAGAUAAAUAGAGAUAGACAGAGAGGCAAGCUUUGUUUGAAUCAGAAGCAAUAUCUGAAAAAGGUAUUACAAUAUUUUGGUGUAAAUGAAAACACAAAACAUGUAAGUACCCCACUUGCUUCUCAUUUGAAACUUAGUGCUCAAUUAUCUCCGAAAACUGAAGAAGAAAGAGAAUAUAUGGCAAAAGUCCCAUAUGCUAAUACAAUUGGGAGUUUGAUGUAUGCGAUGGUGUGUACGAGGCCUGACAUUUCACAAGCUGUUGGAGUUGUGAGCAGGUAUAUGCAUGAUCCUGGAAAAGGACAUUGGCAAGCUGUGAAAUGGAUUCUACGGUAUCUUCGAAAAACCGUAGAUGUUGGUUUCAUUUUUGAACAGGAUGAAGCACUUGGUCAGUUUGUAGUUGGAUAUGUUGAUUCCAACUUUGCUGGUGAUUUAGAUAAACGUCGUUCAACUACGGGGUAUCUGUUUACUCUUACGAAAGCCCCAGUAAGUUGGAAGUCUACCUUACAGUCUACAGUAGCUGUGUCUACUACAGAGGCAGAAUAUAUGGCAGUUACAGAAGCUGUUAAGGAGGCUAUUUGGCUUAAUGGAUUGUUGAAAGACUUAGGAGUUGUUCAAAGUCACAUAAGUUUAUAUUGUGACAGUCAGAGCGCUAUUCAUUUAGCGAAAAAUCAAGUCUAUCAUUCAAGAACCAAGCAUAUCGACGUAAGAUAUCACUUUGUGCGGGAAGUCUUUGAAAAAGGAAAAAUUCUACUUCAGAAGAUUCCGACAGCAGAUAAUCCCGCAGAUAUGAUGACCAAGGUGGUAACAACAAUCAAGUUUAAUCAUUGUUUGAACUUGAUUAACAUCCUGAGAAUUUGAGCACCUUUAGGUGUAUGGCGCUCGAGAGCGCAUUUGGAGGCACUACAAAAGAUAGCUUUAUCAAAUUUGGAGAGUUGAAGGAAGUAUGUGAAGAUGUGAUUAUCCUAAUCAAAUCUUCAAGGUGGAGAUUGUUGAAAAGACAAAUUAAAAGGGGUGUUGAAAAGUCAAAAAAAUGGGAGGUACAAGUGGCACCGAAAGAAAAAAAAUGGUAGGCAAGUUGUUUAAAGUUGAAUGGGAUAAUUGCAAUUUUGGUCCCUAAUUUUUUAGGCCAUUUGCAAGUUAGUCCCUGAACCUCAACUAUAAAUAGGCUUAACCAUUUCUCAUUUACACCAUCCCAACCAAUCUUUCUCUCUUAGUUUUCUUUCUUCUCCCAUUUGAGAAUUCUCAAAGAAUUCUAUUUGUUUGUAAUAUUUUGAAGAUAGUAAAGUUAUCAUCUGGUGUUAGUGCCCGAGGACGUAGGUAUAAUUUACCGAACCUCGUUAAAACUCUUGUGUUCUUUCUUGUCCUAUUUUUCUUUCAAUAUUUGAGGGUAUAAUAGUAGUAUUUAAUUGUGCUAUUAAAUUACUAUAGAAGGGAUAUUCUGACUAAGGAAAGACUUGGUAUUUAAGAGAUCCAUGUGAUCCACCUCUCUUCCCUGGGAAUUGAACUUUGUGUGAUUUUUUAGUACAAUAAUUUACACGCUUCCAACCCUAUUGGAACAACACUUUGUUGUUCAGGGGUUGCAUUUGCGAGAGCAGUAGCCAAAGGUUGAAGAGGCAUAGGCUGUCCAGUGCCAGCAUGUUGCAAUGGACCAGGCAAAUUACGACCAGGUCGGUAACGAUAGGCACGUCCCCUAGGAAUCAUCUGGAACAAGUUUAGUGAAUUAGAACAAAAGACUUCAGUCAAAGCAUAAGCAUAAGCAUAAGCAUAAGCAUAAGCAUGAAAUAGAGGUUAGUAUACACAUGUAUACAACUUAUUGGUUGCUGAGCCUGUUGAAAUGGACCUGGUCCGCGUCGUCCCCCUGGGCGCAGGCCCUGCUGUACCAUGGGAACAAAGAAAAUUACCAACUUUUUAUUUUCAAUGCCGAAAAAGAAAAUUUAUAAAAGGUGAUUCACUAAUGGUAUAAUUUAUCCAACUUUAAAUAGUUUUCCGCUUCAACUUUGGGCUCUUAUAUGUCAACAAAGGGACAGAUGUUUGGUGGUAAGGUGAGUAUUCGAUCGAGUCGAGUUGAAUUGAGUCAAAAAAUUUUGAGUUAGUUGAAUUGACAAAUCAUAUUUUAGCAACCAAACUCAAUUUGAAUUUUUUUCGAAUUAAAUCGAGUCAAAAAAAUUUUGAGUCAAGUUGAGUCGAGUUAACGAAUCCUAUUAUUUAUACUCAAUGUUGUGUUUAAAUGGGUAGUAGAUGAAGUACAAGAUUAUUUAACUACAUAAACAAUAUAAUGAUUUUGCCUUUAAACUUAAUAGGUAAAUAUUUAUCAAAACGACGUAGUUUUAUCUUUUAAUUUAAUGAUUUUGAAUUUUAACUUUUAAAAAAGUAAAUAUUUAUCAAAAUGACGUAGUUUUAACUUUUUUUAUUCGGAUUUUUGGAUAACUCGAAUUGUGUAAUUUAUAUUCGAGUUAAACCAAAAAAACUUAAUUUUUUUAUUCAAUUUUAUCCGAAUAACUUGAUUAACUCAAAAAUAACUUUCAAAAUUAAAAUUUUUUAUCUAAUUUUUCGAACCGAAUCGAAUUUUGCUCACCGGAUAAUACUUUUUGAGAGUAUCUUCCUUUUUACAUUUAUACUAUUCAUAAUGUUUUAUAUUGAUUAAUAUAGUGGAAUAGAAAACGUUUGAACAAAGCAACCCUCUUUCAAACCAAAGCACUUAAUCAAAGAAAAUUCAAUUUAACUUCUAUUCCCACAAAUCAAUUUCCACCACAGAAUUUUAUUGUCAGAUAUCAAUUCCACCACAAGAAACAACACUCAUGAACUCUUCAUCUAAUUCAAGAGCUUUCAUUAACGAUGGUAGAAGGCAAAUUUCCAAGUCAACACUUCCUCCACCUUCACGUCCUGGAUACGACGAAACUUUCCCAUCAAACUUAUGAGCAUAUCCACUUCGAAGCGUCAAUGCUUUCCCUAACCCGAACUCAUUUCCAUACUUGUUGAACCUUGGUGAGCUUCCCAUCAUCACAAUUUGUGGGUCAAGAAGCUGAGUAAACUGGUAAAUGAAAGGUGAAUCAAGCCAACGAUUGACCAAAUCACGCACUUCUUUAUCUGUAUGGUUAACCACAGCUUGGUGUAGUUUCCAAGCAGCCCAACCGAGACCAUGGUUAAGUAGUUCACCAGCUGUGGUCACUGCACUAACAGCAUGAAGUGAGUUACCAAAAUAAUCUGGGGAUAAAGCUGGUUCUAGCCUUGACCUAUUGUUUAUAGCUAACCUACAACUAGUGACUGUUUCGUUUGGGAAACGACGUGCCUUUGUUAUUGACUGCCAUACAAAUGCAGAUAAAGAUUGAAAGGAGGAGAUUUUGGUGGUGUUGGAUUCUGUGUUAGCCCUUUCUUUGAGCUUUGCAAUGGAUUUUGCUGAGAAAUGGAAUAUUCUCUCUAAAAGCUCGGGUGCUUCAAAUCUGGAAAUGAACUCAUCUUGGUUAGUGAAAGGAAGGUUAAGUAAUGGACCAUGACCCUCUGGAAACCAUUUCUCUAACACUGGAGGACGUGAGAUUUUCAAGUUAGUAUCUCCUUGUGCUUGAAAUAUCUCAGACAAUGUGUUGAAGAAAUGCCAGAAACUGGUUCCAUCGCCAAGAGCAU